UCAGUUCAGAAGCAGGGGAGAGUUUACAAAUAAGCUAUUCCUCACCGAAGCCGAGAAACAACCCCCACAUCUAAACCCUUCUAGAUUCAACCUAACGAUGGCAGGGCUUCGAUCGUCUUGAUGACAACAGGGAGGAGGGCAUCGUAUCUACCUGAGGAUCGGCCAUGGCCUUUUCCUGGAGGAGACAGAGUGGCAAACAUGUACAGGUGAAGAGCUGGCUUACAUCUCCUCCACAACCUGCCGCCUCCUUUCCCCUGCACCAGGGUUGUCAUUCUGCAAGCAGGAAUGUACUUGGGUUCACACAGUUUAUGUCUCCAGUCCAGCUGUGUGUCUUGGAGGAUGUCGUUGCACCAGGUUCCUCAUUUAUAAAAUGAAGGACUAGACUUCACACCCUUUGCGGCACCACAGUCUGCAGAUGCUAAAUAAAGU